CUAAAUAUAAUUGAGGGAAAAAACGUGUUGUUUCUUCUUCUUUUUUCUCUCUAUAUAUACCACCAUUCAAAGCAUUGACAAUCAAAGGGGCUCUUCUUCUUGUGCUUCUUCGUUUUGUCUGUCGUCGGUAUCAACGGCUACAACAUUCUUUCUCGCCUGUGGUCCACGUGAGGAUUGACAUUUACAGAUGCUACACUUAAUACUGCCAAUUUCAUGAAAGGAGAGCUUUUACUAAAUACCACUAGGCUUGUAAAGAUAAAAGCCAGGUGGACGUGAGGUUUUAGGACUACCAGUUAGGUGAUAAAGGAAAAGAAAGUACAACACCCUCAGCUCAAGAGCUCUGGUUUUGGGAAGUCCGCAUUUAGUAUUAGUCUGAAAGGUAGAAGAAAACAUUAUUUAUUGCAACUCUAGUGAUGAUUGCACAAGAGGUGGACAAGUUCAAUCCGUUAGUGGAAUGCAGACUUAUCAAGAAAAAGCUAGGAGAAGUUGAGGUUUGAGGACUACAGUUAGGUAAUAAAGGUCAAAAGGUUAGUCUUUAUUUAGUGUUUCCAAUGCACAGGGAGUGUCAUCGACAAAACUAGGCCUUUCAUAUUAGUAUUUAACCAAGCAACUGUUGAUCAACCUUUUUAUCCUCAUUUUAAAUACAUUUGCAGUGGAAAUAACAGGGCUUAACAUAAUAAAAUGAAAAAUUCUACAGAAACUGCAUCUACCCAUUUCCGAAGUCAUAACAGUUCAUUUUCCAUAUAUAUCCCCCAAUACAUCAUUGAUAAACUCUUGUGCACUUGAAGUAGAGUUGAAUCUAGUGCCUCAGAUGUUUCUCCUUUCUCCAUGAUCCAUUCAAGGCCGUUUUCACCUUUAAAACCAACAUCGAGUUCUUCCAUUACAUCCACCUUUUCUCCAUUAAGGAAUCCAUGGGCUUGAUGGACCAAAAGUGUAAGAGAAACAUAUGUCAUAUGCAAAGAUUGCAAGUACGGGUGUCCUUUUGGUGAAAUAAUACAGCACAAAGUCCAUGUUUUCCUCUAAUCCAAGUAAAACACUGGAAAUAUAACAAGACUAUAAAAUUUAUUUAUAAAGUUCUCUUUUUCAUGGAUGAAGAAAAUGCUUCUGGUGUACAAAGGACAGUAGUCAUCAUCAUUCCAAGGUGGGAACAAUGUUGAAGUUUGAGGUGGGAAUUCACUCAGGGUUCGAGGUGGGAAUAUUCCCUUCUACCACACGGUUCAAUUUUUUGGUUUAUUUUAUCAAACAGGGAUCAGGUAUUACAUUUUUUUGGUAACCAAAAAAAUGUGGAACCUAGAUUUUGCAAAAUCAAAACCAGUGGCGAAUAUGAAUUACCAGAAACUGAAUUGUUUUGGAGCACUGGUCUUGUAUUUGAAUGCAGGAAGCUCUAGCUGGUGUUCCGACAUUCCAUGAGAGGUGUUCAUAUCCUUUGCUAACAACAAAAACAAACCCAAUGUUAGUCCCUUAUGUGUGGUCUGGAAUAGAGUGUUCACAGACCCCUACCUCGUAGACGUAAAGAGGCUCUUUCUAUAAGAUCCUCAGCACGAGUAAUGUACAUCAAAGCAGUUAAAAAUUCUGUCUUUUCUACUAUUAUAAGAUAAUUGUACCAGCUAAAACCAUCUAAAGAACAACGGAACACUAUAGAGUUGUAGAUGAUUAGGGUAGGAUAAAUCCUAAAGGUGUAGAAAAUAACUAGCAUUCCUAAAAUUUAUUUGAAAGUGCUUUCAAAUUGUGGCUUUCUAGUUAUGUUGAGAAGUCUAUAGGAAGCUUACCUGAGA